CAGUCACAGCUCUUGUCUCAGUGGAUGGAGCAAGCCUCAUUCUCCAAAUACCAGCUGGAGCUCGUUCAACCGGCUCUGUUAUGGCAAUCCAUUGAUGCUGUGGGUGUGAAAUGCUCACAACUGAAUUUUUACAUUUUUGUUCUAUAUUUUUGUUAACGACCGUGUUUCAUUGCAAGUAAUUCUCACCGAUGAAACAUAAAGCGUUCUUAUUUUUUAUUAUUGGUUUGUUACUUUUCAUGAUCAAGUUAAGGUUUCCAAUAGCACUUCAUCCCAUUUACGUCUGGCUUGAUUUCAUUAACGUAAUGUUGGCUAUCUUCAGCAGCUGACCAAGAGCCAUUGCACGUGGCACAUAAUCACUCUGUGCAGCACUUGAACUUGUUUCCACGUGCGUUACGUCAUUUAUGGACGCCCCCUUAGGUCGGAGAGAGACCGCACUUUUAUCUAUAGCGUAAAACUGUUUUUUUUUUAUAACGUACGGAGGAAAUAAAGAAUGUUACUCACGGAGAUCGUUAUUUGUUCGAUUUUAUACAUUUCAACCUAUAACACCCUGCCUCUGAGCUCGCUACACGUUAAUCCGUUUCUAAAUUCUCACGUCGGCACAUUCUCUCCAUCGCUACCGGACACACCCAAUAGUCCGGCUCGGCUCUGCACUCACUGUUUUGCAUGUCCCCUCCACCCACGCCACUGGUACACGGCGACUCUUUUCUGUUCAAGCCCAGUAGGCAUCUAUAACUUCUCUAUACUCGGUGCUUGUGUCUUCGGCUUUCUGUCUCUCCGCAUAAGCAAGUAAUGUGGUCCACACAAUAAUUAGUGCAACCAAAGUAUCUGCACACUUCUCCGAUCUCCAUCCUGUUUGGCUCAGAUCUUUUUGCUAUCCUUUAACAUCCUGCCUAUCAUGUCCCUUGCCUUAGCCCUCAGUGCUGCUGCUUCCCUUUGGUUGAUGCUCCCUCUUGCCCCACACCCCCCCCGCUAACACCCCCAUUAACAUUACCCUCUCCUGCCUUGGGGGCACCAAAGCAUAAAAAGACCCUCCUCCACCAAUGGGUAAAGGUAAUACACAUACUCUUGGGUUCUUUCGGUAACGUCACGUAAGUAGAAAUAAAAUAAAAUUAAACAAAUCACGACGUUUCGAUCGCAACACAAGCAAUUUCAUCACCCACAGCAAGAAAAAUGGCGAAGUAGGCGAGAGAGCUGCCGUGGCAAGAGGAAAUACACAUGUAGUAGUAUUUAUGUUGUUAAUACCGAAAUGAUCAUAUGAAAGAACAAAGUCAUACUUUUCUUAGUAUAAAAAGGAUUUUAAAAGGUUUUCACCUUGGCCCUGUGUGCAUGUGUAGUAGUCGUGUAUGGAGACGGAGUCGUAAUAGGAAGCAACACAUUUAUUUUAUAUCUUUAACAACACUCACUAGGACUUAACACGAAGAGGUAAUGGCCCCUUCCACCCACACCCCUGUGGAGGUACAGCCUCCGGGCUAUCUAUCCUAGCCACUGACCUACUCCUAUAGCCCUCCGGCUGGCUGGAGCUAAGGAGGCUGACCCACCGCUGGGACCGGUGGAUCUCUGACCACUGGCCCGGCCAGACCAGGUCCUUAGAAGGACGUUGGGCUGAGGGAACCUCAGGGUCCUAGCCUCUCGACCACUGGCACUGCACUGAGCCCCGGCCCUCCGAAGGACGCCGGGGCUUGGGGUCCAGGGUCUCGUCGCCAGGUGGCUCCUCGACUUCGGCUUGAGGUGAACUGAACUCUGCUCUCAGGAGCCCGCCUUUUAUACGAUUCCCCACCGAGGGGCGGGGUUCUGAGGGAUCACAGAUACCCCACAGCCCCCUCCCCUCAGGAGGGGUUCUGGCCACAGGUAGUCCAACCGAUCUGUGUUUGUUUAUCCCGUUUUCUGCCUAGGGGCAAGGUUCUGGGGGAUCACACACACACAUACUCCACAGCCUCCACCCCUCAGGUGGGGUCUUGGUCAGGGUUAUCAAUGACCCCACUCUGGUAGGUACUGUGUAGGGUGUGUG